GGCUAGGUGGCAGAGUGGUUAUGCAGCGGCCUGCAAAGCCGUGUAUCCCGGUUCGAUUCCGGGCCUAGCCUCCA
rnacentral:tRNA from 4 species